UGUAGCAUCUUUAAAAGAAAAUUUAAUUUUCAAUAACUUACAUCUGCUGCUUACAUCUGAAGUUUACGAUAAUUUUGAUGAGGUGCCAAGCAGAAGAGCGUAUAAAUGAUUGUAUGUUUGCGACCUACGAGGGCUAUCUGCUAUGCAAUAACCAUGAUCGUUGAAAUCGCUUCCUAGAGCAAUGCUUCAACCAAAAAUUAGCUAACCAUAUUUUGAAACAAGUGCUGUAGUGCAUACGACCGAAAAAGCCAGCAUAGAAAAGAUUCUUCAAAUGAUUUAAAAAGUGAAAGUUUCUGCAUGUUAUUUAGUAUGUCAUUGUGUAAUAUUCAGUGGAAAUAAAUUUCGAAAAUUUUAA